rnacentral:rRNA from 1 species
UGCCGGCGACCGGCGGACGGGUGCGUAACGCGUAUGUAACCUACCUUUGACAGGGGGAUAACAUCGAGAAAUUGGUACUAAUACCCCAUAACAUCACCGGAGGCAUCUUCGGUGGUUGAAAACUCAGGUGGUCAGAGAUGGACAUGCGUUGUAUUAGCUAGUUGGUGAGGUAACGGCUCACCAAGGCGACGAUACAUAGGGGGACUGAGAGGUCAACCCCCCCACAUUGGUACUGAGACACGGACCAAACUCCUACGGAAGGCAGCAG